UUCCUACGGGAGGCAGCAGUGGGGAAUAUUGCACAAUGGGGGAAACCCUGAUGCAGCAACGCCGCGUGAGUGAAGAAGUCAUUCGUGAUGUAAAGCUCUAUCAGCAGGGAAGAAGCAAGACGGUACCUGACUAAGAAGCCCCGGCUAACUACGUGCCAGCAGCCGCGGUAAUACGUAGGGGGCGAGCGUUAUCCGGAUUCACUGGGUGUAAAGGGAGCGUAGACGGCCAUGCAAGCCAGGGGUGAAAGCCCGGGGCCCAACCCCGGGACUGCCCUUGGAACUGUGCGGCUAGAGUGCGGGAGGGG
rnacentral:rRNA from 1 species